UAGGCGGACGGGUGAGUAACGCGUGGGUAACCUGCCGUAUACAGGGGGAUAACACUUAGAAAUAGGUGCUAAAACCGCAUAAGCGCACAGCGCCGCAUGGCGCAGUGUGAAAAACUCCGGUGGUAUACGAUGGACCCGCGUCUGAUUAGCCAGUUGGCAGGGUAACGGCCUACCAAAGCGACGAUCAGUAGCCGGCCUGAGAGGGUGGACGGCCACAUUGGGACUGAGACACGGCCCAAACUCCUACGGAAGGCAGCAG
rnacentral:rRNA from 1 species